rnacentral:tRNA from 1 species
GCCCCCGUAGCCCAACCGGCAGAGGCAGUCGACUUAAAAUCGACACAGUGCGGGUUCGAGUCCCGUCGGGGGUA